AGGGGUUGAAUAUGCCUCCUCAUAAAACUAAAGGCUACCCCAACUCCUAUCAGCCCUUACUGCUUGAGUCUAGCUAUCUUCUCCAGGAGAUCGAAUAGCUUCAAGCUGUCUCUGUGGGUAGGCUCGUCCAACCACCUGUUGUUCCAAAUCGGGCAGUGGCCUGUCACCUUGGGAAGCUUGGGCUCAUGCUUGCCGAUGUAGCACCACCUCUCCUUCCAUCCAGAGUGUG
rnacentral:lncRNA from 1 species